rnacentral:tRNA from 1 species
GGGCCCAUAGCUCAGCCUGGCAGAGCGACCGGCUCAUAACCGGUCGGGCAGGGGUUCAAAUCCCCUUGGGCCCA